AUUGAACGCUGGCGGCAGGCCUAACACAUGCAAGUCGAGCGGAUGAAGGGAGCUUGCUCCUGGAUUCAGCGGCGGACUGGUGAGUAAUGCCUAGGAAUCUGCCUGGUAGUGGGGGAUAACGUCCGGAAACGGGCGCUAAUACGGCAUACGUCCUGAGGGAGAAAGUGUGGGAUCUUCGGACCUCACGCUAUCAGAUGAGCCUAGGUCGGAUUAGCUAGUUGGUGGGGUAAAGGCCUACCAAGGCGACGAUCCGUAACUGGUCUGAGAGGAUGAUCAGUCACACUGGAACUGAGACACGGUCCAGACUCCUACGGGAGGCAGCAGUGGGGAAUAUUGGACAAUGGGCGCAAGCCUGAUCCAGCCAUGCCGCGUGUGUGAAGAAGGUCUUCGGAUUGUAAAGCACUUUAAGUUGGGAGGAAGGGCAGUAAGUUAAUACCUUGCUGUUUUGACGUUACCAACAGAAUAAGCACCGGCUAACUUCGUG
rnacentral:rRNA from 1 species